GAUGAACGCUGGCGGCGUGCCUAAUACAUGCCAGUCGAGCGAACGGACGAGAAGCUUGCUUCUCUGAUGUUAGCGGCGGACGGGUGAGUAACACGUGGAUAACCUACCUAUAAGACUGGGAUAACUUCGGGAAACCGGAGCUAAUACCGGAUAAUAUUCUGAACCGCAUGGUUCAAAAGUGAAAGACGGUCUUGCUGUCACUUAUAGAUGGAUCCGCGCUGCAUUAGCUAGUUGGUAAGGUAACGGCUUACCACGGGGACGAUGCCUGGCCGACGUGUGAGGGUGGUCGGCCGCACGGGAGCGGGGACACGGUCCAGAGUCCUACGGGAGGCAGCAGUAGGGAAUCUUCCGCAAUGGGCGGAAGCCUGACGGAGCAACGCCGCGUGAGUGAUGAAGGUCUUCGGAUCGUAAAACUCUGUUAUUAGUGAAGAACAUAUGUGGAAGUAACUGUGCACAUCUUGACGGUACCUAAUCAGAAAGCCACGGCUAACUACGUG
rnacentral:rRNA from 1 species